UAUUAAUAUGGACUAUCUCAACUUAAAUUGAUAUUUGUUAUUGUCUACAACUACACUACUACCAACGUCAAAUUUGGUGUAUUAUAUUAUUGUAGUCAAUCAGUCUAAUCUAAUUCCAUCAAUACAUUGUCGAAUGUUGUGGUAUUCAAUUUUCAGUAAAUUUAUAGGUGUUUUAUUUUAAGUUACUGUGGCACACUAUUGUAGAUAACGGUUUUCCAUUAAGUCAGUAAGAAGAAUAAGAUGGAUUUACAAGUUCAAAUCAAAUAUUAGACAACUAUAUAUAUUUAGUUAUUCAGCUAAAAAUGUAAUUCAAUAAAAUAAUUUAAAAGUACUUUAUCAUUUUAAAAGUGACAUAAAGUUUUUAAACACACAUAUACUUAACAUAUCUAUAAUUAUUAUACAUUAUUUAUUAAUUAUUAAUGAUGAAUUCUUUAUUUAAUAUUAAUUUAAUCUAAAAUGCUGCUGAGAAUGUUAAUAUUUCUAAAAUAUGUUAUUGUCUUAAUCCAAAUCUUGAAAUUAUUUUCAUGAUGGCAUAGUUUUGGCAUUAGCUAUUACAGAAUUUAUUGACAACUUUCUAGUGGUUUACGAUUAAGUUUUUAUAAGUAAUAAAGUAAAUAAAAUUAUAAAACACAAAAUAGAAAAAAAAAAAAUGUUAACUAUUGGAUUAAGUGUAAAAAAGUAAAUUGAAUGAAUAUACUUAUAAAUAUUUUUUAACUUAAA